UAAUAGGCCACUUCCUGCAGGCUUUGGGCCCUUUGCCAGAGGAGCCUGACACAAACAAAUGGCUCAGACAGCCAGUUGGAUGUGUUUCCGCUGCGUGAGACUCUUCACCGGUACAACUGAGCUAUUACCUGAGCCAUCCUGGACUAAUUUGUACUUAGUCUGUGUAUCCAGAGCUGGUUGUGGAGCUGCUUCAGCCCUCGUGAUGUUGGGAACACUAACUGCAGGGAAGUGACCGUUUCCUAGCUGCACGGUGGUCAGCCUGUCACAUUUGCCCCAAGAGGAAGGUGCAGUAUGUCCAGACCACCCCCUGCCUGUAACAUGGACUUGUUCUUGGCUGACCUGGAGGAAAUGGUGCAGACGGCAAACAGUGGGGUGUUCUGUUUGUGCUCUGUUACACGGGAGACAGUGCAGAAGGGAGUUGAGGUUAGCUUGGUUCUCCGAGAGACUAUUUUUUUGCAUUUUGUAAGGCACAGAAAAUGUCUGAUACUUACAUACAUACAUAUUUGAAACUUUAGAUCUGGCACCAUUUAAGACCCCUUUAGUGACAUUCUUUCAAAAGAGCGACUUGCACCAAAUCUAUUGCCUUUUUGUGCAGACUUUGACUCCUUUUCCCUGAAGGAGAGAUACUAAUAUUUCUCAGUAAAUGUGCAGUAAUAUUUCUCAUCUGGCUCCUGCACUGACUGUGUUCAGCGAGUGAAUCAGCAGCCAGAGUGAA